rnacentral:rRNA from 1 species
ACGAAGGGGGCUAGCGUUGUUCGGAAUUACUGGGCGUAAAGCGCACGUAGGCGGACUUUUAAGUCAGGGGUGAAAUCCCGGGGCUCAACCCCGGAACUGCCUCUGAUACUGGAAGUCUCGAGUGUGGUAGAGGUGAGUGGAAUUGCGAGUGUAGAGGUGAAAUUCGUAGAUAUUCGCAGGAACACCAGUGGCGAAGGCGGCUCACUGGACCACAACUGACGCUGAGGUGCGAAAGCGUGGGGAGCAAACAGG